rnacentral:rRNA from 1 species
UACAGAGGGUGCAAGCGUUAAUCGGAUUUACUGGGCGUAAAGGGCGUGUAGGUGGUUACGUAAGUGAGAGGUGAAAUCCUCGGGCUCAACCUGGGAACUGCCUCUUAUACUGCGUAGCUGGAGUACAUUAGAGGGUAGUGGAAUUUCCGGUGUAGCGGUGAAAUGCGUAGAUAUCGGAAGGAACACCAGUGGCGAAGGCGGCUACCUGGAAUGAUACUGACACUGAGACGCGAGAGCGUGGGGAGCGAACGGG